AUUGAACGCUGGCGGCAGGCCUAACACAUGCAAGUCGAACGAGUGGCGGACGGGUGAGUAAUGUCUGGGAAACUGCCUGAUGGAGGGGGAUAACUACUGGAAACGGUAGCUAAUACCGCAUACCAUCGGAUGUGCCCAGAUGGGAUUAGCUAGUAGGUGGGGUACUGACUCACCUAGGCGACGAUCCCUAGCUGGUCUGAGAGGAUAACCAGGCACACUGGAACGGAGACACGGUCCAGACCCCUACGGGAGGCAGAAUUGGGGAAUAUUGCACAAUGGGCGCGAGCCUGAUGCAGCCAUGCCGCUUGUGUGAAGAAGGCCUUCGGGUUGUAAAGUACUUUCAGCGAGGAGGCGUUACUCGCAGAAGAAGCACCGGCUAACUCCGUGCCAGCAGCCGCGGUAAUUC
rnacentral:rRNA from 1 species